GGAAGUUAGAAAGAAGGAGCCUAGAGAGAAAAUGGAAAUCAUACAACUCGUCUCUUAUGAGAGUGUGUUGUGCAACAUAAAGCUUGUUUUAAAGAAUUGGGGUACCUUCCUCAGGACUGUGUGAAAGAUCUAAGCAACUUUGCCAGCAUACUUUCAGGCAACAUGUUUCUGAACCACAAGUACACAAAACAGACCUUGAAACGCUUACCCUUUCCUGUAACCAGGGGCAGAAUGGAAUUUGCCCUCUUGUCUGCACUGUGUGACUGUCAGAAUGACUCAUUUUCUUUGAUCCUGUGUUUUCUGGCAUUUGGACAGUGUACCCCAAGAAGUUAAAAUCAUCAUCCUUGCUUGGCGCUCUGUGGCAGCUGCCUGCCUGGUGGCUUCUGGUAGUUCCGUGAAACGUGUGGGCAGAAGAACAGAAGGGCUGAGGAAGGAAUAGAGUGACUGGAAUAGCAUUCGCCGGCAGAAUGUUUGUAGCUGAAGGUGGAGCAUAUCCAGAGGACACUGUUAGGAAUAUUUU
rnacentral:lncRNA from 1 species